rnacentral:rRNA from 1 species
CUACCUGCAAGUCGAGCGGCAGCGACUUAACUGAACCUUUGGGGAACGUUAAGGGCGGCGAGCGGCGGACGGGUGAGUAAUGCCUGGGAAUAUGCCCUGAUGUGGGGGAUAACUAUUGGAAACGAUAGCUAAUACCGCAUAAUCUCUUCGGAGCAAAGAGGGGGACCUUCGGGCCUCUCGCGUCAGGAUUAGCCCAGGUGGGAUUAGCUUGUUGGUGAGGUAAUGGCUCACCAAGGCAACGAUCCCUAGCUGGUCUGAGAGGAUGAUCAGCCACACUGGAACUGAGACACGGUCCAGACUCCUACGGGAGGCAGCAGUGGGGAAUAUUGCACAAUGGGGGAAACCCUGAUGCAGCCAUGCCGCGUGUGUGAAGAAGGCCUUCGGGUUGUAAAGCACUUUCAGUAGGGAGGAAGGUAGUGUAGUUAACACCUGCAUUAUUUGACGUUACCUACAGAAGAAGCACCGGCUAACUCCGUGCCAGCAGCCGCGGUAAUACGGAGGGUGCGAGCGUUAAUCGGAAUUACUGGGCGUAAAGCGCUUGCAGGCGGCCUGUUAAGUCAGAUGUGAAAGCCCGGGGCUUAACCUCGGAAUUGCAUUUGAAACUGGCAGGCUAGAGUCUUGUAGAGGGGGGUAGAAUUUCAGGUGUAGCGGUGAAAUGCGUAGAGAUCUGAAGGAAUACCAGUGGCGAAGGCGGCCCCCUGGACAAAGACUGACGCUCAGAUGCGAAAGCGUG